rnacentral:rRNA from 1 species
UCUGGAUGCCGAAGAGAUUUGGCCGUGCUCGCAAGAGAACCGGAACACAGGUGCUGCAUGGCUGUCGUCAGCUCGUGUCGUGAGAUGUUGGGUUAAGUCCCGCAACGAGCGCAACCCUUGUCAUUAGUUGCUACGAAAGGGCACUCUAAUGAGACUGCCGGUGACAAACCGGAGGAAGGUGGGGAUGACGUCAAGUCCUCAUGGCCCUUAUGGGUAGGGCUUCACACGUCAUACAAUGGUCGGGACAGAGGGUCGCCAACCCGCGAGGGGGAGCCAAUCCCAGAAACCCGAUCGUAGUCCGGAUCGCAGUCUGCAACUCGACUGCGUGAAGUCGGAAUCGCUAGUAAUCGCGGAUCAGCAUGUCGCGGUGAAUACGUUCCCGGGUUUGGGUACACACCG